AGCAUCCAAGCCAGGGCCAGCUGUGAGGUGAGAGGAAAGGAGCCUGUGGUGCCGCAAGCCCAGAGUCCACGCCCCAGUCUUCCAUGCAGCGGGAGGGAAGAGGCCUGUGGAGCCAUGAGCCCAGCGUCCGCACCACGGCUGUGCGGCAGGAGGGAAGGGACCUCUGCGGCUGUGAGCCCAGAGUCCGAACCCCGUCCUGCCUGCCCAGAGUCUGUGCCCCGGCCUGCCUUCGGCGGUAGGGAAGAGGCCUGUGGGGCCCCAAGCUCAGUGUCCCGUGGCAGGGGAGGAACCAGAAAAAUGGAUCUUUUCAGUUCCUGAUGCUGACAGAGCCUUAGGGGUGCCAGGGUCCUCCACCUGCAGCCCCUAGUCACAGCCCAACAGCCCCAGUAGCAGACUGAAAGCCCCCUGCCAGCAGUCCAGACAGGACCAGCAUGGUGCCUCAGCGGGGAAGGGUGUGUGUGUGUGUGUGUGUGUGUGUGUGUGUGUGUGUCCAGCAGGCAUGCUACAGACAUCAAAUCACUGCUGCU